rnacentral:rRNA from 1 species
AUUGAACGCUGGCGGCAUGCCUAACACAUGCAAGUCGAGCGGAUGAAUCGUGCUUGCUCCUGGAUUCAGCGGCGGACGGGGGAGUAAUGCCUAGGAAUCUGCCUGGUAGUAGGGUAUAACGUCCGGGAACGGGCGCUAUUACCGCAUACGUUCUGAGGGCGAAAGAGGGUGUGCCUCGGACCUCAAGCUUUCAGGUGACCCUAGGUCGGAUUUGCUAGUUGGUGGGGUAAAGGCCUACCAAGGCGGCGAUCCGUAACUGGUCUGAGAGGAUGAUCAGUCAAACGGGAACUGAGAACCGGUCCAGACCCCUAGGGGAGGCAGCAGUGGGAAAUAUCGGACAAUGGGCGAAAGCCUACUCCAGCCAGGCGGGGUGGGUGAAGAAGGUCUCCGGAUGGUAAAGUCCUUUAUGUGGGGAGGAAGGGCAGUAAGGUAACUCAUUGCUGUUUUGAGGUUACCAACAGAAUAAGCACGGGCUAACUCCGU